CCGGAUUAAUACCGCAUACGCUCUGCGGAGGAAAGCGGGGGAUCUUUCAGGACCUCGCGCUCAAGGGGCGGCCGAUGGCAGAUUAGCUAGUCGGUGGGGUAAAGGCCUACCAAGGCGACGAUCUGUAGCUGGUCUGAGAGGACGACCAGCCACACUGGGACUGAGACACGGCCCAGACUCCUACGGGAGGCAGCAGUGGGGAAUUUUGGACAAUGGGCGCAAGCCUGAUCCAGCAAUGCCGCGUGUGUGAAGAAGGCCUUCGGGUUGUAAAGCACUUUUGUCCGGAAAGAAAACCUUUGGGCUAAUACCCUGGGGGGAUGACGGUACCGGAAGAAUAAGCACCGGCUAACUACGUGCCAGCAGCCGCGGUAAUACGUAGGGUGCAAGCGUUAAUCGGAAUUACUGGGCGUAAAGCGUGCGCAGGCGGUUCGCUAAGACAGAUGUGAAAUCCCCGGGCUUAACCUGGGAACUGCAUUUGUGACUGGCGGGCUAGAGUAUGGCAGAGGGGGGUAGAAUUCCACGUGUAGCAGUGAAAUGCGUAGAGAUGUGGAGGAAUACCGAUGGCGAAGGCAGCCCCCUGGGCCAAUACUGACGCUCAUGCACGAAAGCGUG
rnacentral:rRNA from 1 species